GACGAACGCUGGCGGCAGGCCUAACACAUGCAAGUCGAACGAGUGGCGGAGGGGUGAGUCAUGUCUGGGAAACUGCCCGAUGGAGGGGGAUAACUACUGGAAACGGUAGCUAAUACCGCAUACCAUCGGAGGUGCCCAGAUGGGAUUAGCAAGUAGGUGGGGUAAUGGCUCACAUAGGCUACGAUCCCUAGCUGGUCUGAGAGGAUGACCUGCCACACUGGACCUGAGACACGGUCCAGACUCCUACGGGAGGCAGCAGUGGGGAAUAUUGCACAAUGGGCGCAAGCCUGAUGCAGCCAUGCCGCGGGUAUGAAGAAGGCCUUCGGGUUGUAAAGUACGUUCAGCGAGGAGGCGUUACUCGCAGAAGAAGCACCGGCUAACUCCGUGCCAGCCGCCGCGGUAAUUC
rnacentral:rRNA from 1 species